GAUGAAGAACGUAGCGAAAUGCGAUAAUUAAUGUGAAUUGCAGAAUUCCGUGAAUCAUCGAGUCUUUGAACGCACAUUGCGCCUCAUGGCAUUCCGUGAGGCAUGCCCAUCUCAGCGUUAGAAAAUAUUCUCAAAUUUUAGUUUUGUGCUAAAAUUUGGAUCAUGUCAAGGAAGCUAUUACUAUUAUUGUGAUUGCUCUUUGGAAAUUGAUAGGUCUUUGAGUUGCUACUCAUAGAACGUGAUGAAUCUUUCUUCGUUCUAUUGUAAUUCACUCUGGUAGUCCUAAAACUUGUAUGCCUGUGGCAUAUCUUGUAAUUUGACCUGAGAUUGGGUAGGGAUACCCGCUGAACUUAAGCAUAUCAAUAAGCGGAGGA
rnacentral:misc_RNA from 1 species